CAGCCCUAAUCGGGCGGUAAAUUCCGUCCAAGGCUAAAUACGGGUGAGAGACCGAUAGCGAACAAGUACCGCGACGGAAAGAUGAAAAGGACUUUGAAAAGAGAGUCAAAGAGUGCUUGAAAUUGU
rnacentral:ncRNA from 1 species